AAACAGGUGAUAUGGUUCUCACAGCUCCGGAGAGAACACGCCCAGCCCAAGUCAUUUCUACACUGCAAUUCCUUGGCUUCAGCUGAGGGGUCUGGAUCUUUGAGAAGUCAAGCAAUAUGAAGAGAAAAAAGGGAUUCAAACUUGGAUUAUGAAACCACAUCAAAGUAUCACCACCCCUCUGCACUUUCCCUAGCCCUUCAACUUCUUCCCAACCAUCUGAUGCAGGAACCAUAUAAUCUCCCUGCUAUGAAACAGGUCAUAGCCAAAGACUGAAAUCUCAGACCCUCACUGUCCAGAAGCUACCUUAGUUGACUGCACUGACAAAAACUGGAUGCAUGAAAAUAACAGAUAUAAAUACUCGCAAACUUCUGGGGAGCAGAGGCUGACAUCAAGGUGUCAGGAAGAACUACACUCCUGCUGAAGGCCAGAGGAGAGAACAGGAACUUGGUGUCUCUCAAUUUCUGGGGGACUCCAGACAUCCUUGGCUUGUGACCACAUCACUGCACUUUGGUCUUCUAUGGCCUCUUCUCCUUAUGUCUCCUCCAUAUUCUUCUCUAAGACAUAUAUGGAUGCAGUACUCAUGUAGAAUAAGCCUCUCUUCUUGAGACCUAGAACUGUUGUUGUAUAGUGACAAUACUCAUAGGUUCUAGGGGUUGGAAUAUGAGCACAUAUUUUGAGAGCAACCAUUCUAUGUACUAAAACCACUGACCCGCAGGUGGCUUACCCACCCUGAAUCUAAAAAUAUAUUUGAUGUGAAGAGUAAACAGCAAAUAAAAUAAUCUAAGUAACAGUGACCCCCCCAACAUCAAUAAAAGGGUUCCCCUCCUGCUUUCCAUUAGGACCUCUUCAAGGACAAGUACAUUCAUUUUAAGAUGAUUUUCUUCGUUAGGAAGACUCACAAAUGCAUGCUUAAAUUCCCCAUUCCUUUCAUAUCCGCUUUAGAUUGCCUUUUCCUACCACAUUGUAUUCAUCCUGAAGACAAAGAACAACAUGCUUUUUGAAUUCUGUUUUAUCACGAACUAGGACAGUGCUUAUCAAAGCUUCUGUGGUAAAGGAUAAGAGUUUAAUUGUGUAAAAUAAAAC
rnacentral:lncRNA from 1 species